GGAGGCGGAGCUUCAGAACACACGAUUACAUCAUCAACAGGGGCUGUGGUUUCACAGAAGAGAGGCGGGGCUACAGGGUGCAGUUGGCCUCUGGAGAGAGUCUACAUUUUGCCACUGUCAGGCAAGUAGUUCGUAGGUUCGUCUCAGCGACUCGUCGGUGCCCGGACUUUGGUAGUAGUCUCCAUAAGGAGCCAGCUGGAGGGCGGAGCUAUCAGGGAAGAGCUCUGCUCCAUCCUCAUUGGCCUGCAGGAUCAGGAGAUGGAUGCCUGUCUUCAGCUCAGACAGUUUGGGUGAAAUCUGGUUCCUUGGAGCAGAACCGCCAGCCAGAGAACGACUGGGGAACUCCCAAGACUCGACCAAUCGAUAGGAGAUAGACAGCAGCUUCAACACCUUAGAACCAAUCAGUCGAUAAGAGACAGAAGCAGAGACACCACCUCGUUUAUCAUUUCUGUUAAUUAGGUUCUAAGAGAACAACGAGAAGGUUCAGGAGGAAAAUAAAAAAGUAACAGAAGUUUGGCUGAAGAGA